UUAGAUGUUUUCGGGCGGGCUUGGGUUUUGGACUUAACAACACAUUUGCCGAAUACCCAAACCCAUUUUUUUUCCCAAUGGAUUAGACCGUGUCUUUAAGCCGAACCAUUUAUAAUCAGCUCUAAUCUCAACAGGGGAAAUAGUCUCCGAGGUUACCAUCCAACUAACAAAACAGAUUACAAAAUGGACGAAAUCAUUCAUUUUGACAAAAGGCAAAGAGAAUUACAAAUCACCCAAAUACAUUUUCACAAAACCAAACAACUAAUCUACAUUAAUCUUCCCUGCCCUCCUCUCUCGCCGCCGAAAUUAAUUGAAAAAGACAAAUUAUAAAAAAUAUACAAAUUGGUAACAUCAUCGAUAAAUACUAACUUUGUUUCAUAUUAUUUGCAACGAUUAGAUAUUUUUCCUCUCUACUUUAUGUCAAAUUGUUGCAAAUAAUAUAAAACUGAGGUAGUAUAUAAUGUUACUAUUCCAGAGGAUAAAUCUGAUGAUUCUUGGUGUUGCACCAUUACCGCCACCAGCCUCACCACUAUUGUUGCUUUAUCCGUCAUGUAUGCCGCCAUUGUACAUGACAGAAGCAGGGCAAGAGGGAUUUCAAAGAGAAAUGAUAAAAGAGACGAUUUGAUCGAAAACGAGUCGCUUGACAAGCUUCCUCUUAGCUGGGAUAACACUACUCAUCUUCUUAGGCAAAAGAAGGAAGGUAGCGAAACUGAGAUGUGAGAAUGAAACACUACUACAAUUUAACCCUUGUGCCACAAAUUUUGCCACAUUUUAUAUUUAUUCGUGGCAAAAUUUUACAUUGCCACGGGAAAACUCCUUUAAUCAUAAUAAUUAGUUUGAGGUAUAGUAUUUCUGCCACAUGAAAAAAAUUUCGUGGCAAACAUGUACUUUCUGCUACAAACACAGCCACAAUAAAUCUUGUUACGUGGCAAAUUGAAUCACCUAAAUUUUCACUUUAAGAAAAAAUUGCUUAUUAAAUUGUGCCAAAAUAAAAAUCUCCCGCUUGAUUAAAAAAAAGUCCACCACACCACUACGCGUCUUCAAUUUGGUCACAUUACAAAAAAUUAAAAGAUAUAAAAAUCUUUCUUACUCUCUAUCUUUCUCUCUCGUCUAAAAAAAUUACCCUAUUUCUCAAUCCCUCAAUGGCGAUUAUUGACAAUCAGUCCGUCUAAUGUUCAAGGCUUAUUCAAUCAUCAUUACUUUCGGUUUGAAUUGCUGUAGUGUUUUAUAAGUUUUGAUAAAUCUUUGGUCCGUAGAGAUCUGGAAAGCAUAUUCAAGAAAAAGAAACAUGGGAAGGAUUGCUCACGAGUUGACCUUCUAAUUGAGUCUCGUAAGAGGAAGUCAAAUAAAUAUGUUAAUUUGGAUACCUUAGCUAAUAACAUGAAUGUAGUGUCUGAGAUGAAAAAGUUAACAGAAGAAAGAGACCAAGGGCAUAAUAACCACACUGAUAAACAAAUUAUUGAGAAAGUACUUGGUAAAGAUACUCAUGGAUAUUUGCGUGCAUAUGGGCGAGGUAGAAGUAUUACAAAUCAUUUUGGUGUUAAGCCAUCAAAAAUUGUGAACCCUGUUGAAUCUUACUACAGAUCAUGAAGCUAGAGAUGAAUAUGAAGUUUUGCUUUUUUUUUUUUGUUUAUUAAUUAAUGUACCCAUGGAGGAUUGAAUUUAGCUUUUCUUUUUACAUAAUUUACUUCGCAGACAUUUUUUGUAAGCAAGUACUCAUGUUGACAUUACUUUAUUUAUUAAUGAAAUUUUAUUGUUUUAAUUGUAUUGAUUAUUUAUUUAUUUUGACGUAAGAAGCAUGAAUUACUCUACAUGACAAAUAUUUUACUAUAUAUACAACACGAAUUACUCUAAAUGAUAAAGCUUAGCCACGGGUAUAUCCUAAUUGCCACAUUUGUACUUGUAGCAAAGUAUCAAUAUUAGCCACGUAAAAACCGUGGCAAAAAAAUUGG